AUUGAACGCUGGCGGCAGGCCUAACACAUGCAAGUCGAGCGGUAACAGGAAGCAGCUUGCUGCUUCGCUGACGAGUGGCGGACGGGCGAGUAAUGUCUGGGAAACUGCCUGAUGGAGGGGGAUAACUACUGGAAACGGUAGCUAAUACCGCAUAACGUCGCAAGACCAAAGAGGGGGACCUUAGGGCCUCUUGCCAUCGGAUGUGCCCAGAUGGGAUUAGCUAGUAGGUGGGGUAACGGCUCACCUAGGCGACGAUCCCUAGCUGGUCUGAGAGGAUGACCAGCCACACUGGAACUGAGACACGGUCCAGACUCCUACGGGAGGCAGCAGUGGGGAAUAUUGCACAAUGGGCGCAAGCCUGAUGCAGCCAUGCCGCGUGUAUGAAGAAGGCCUUCGGGUUGUAAAGUACUUUCAGCGGGGAGGAAGGGAGUAAAGUUAAUACCUUUGCUCAUUGACGUUACCCGCAGAAGAAGCACCGGCUAACUCCGUG
rnacentral:rRNA from 1 species